AGCCUUCUGUAUCUGUGCUGAGAUUUCGUCACACACCAUACUACAAAGACUGAUGAGUCUCCCAACACUAGGUC
rnacentral:pre_miRNA from 1 species